GAAGAGUUUGAUCAUGGCUCAGAUUGAACGCUGGCGGCAGGCUUAACACAUGCAAGUCGAACGAUGACUCUCUAGCUUGCUAGAGAAGAUUAGUGGCGGACGGGUGAGUAACAUUUAGGAAUCUGCCUAGUAGUGGGGGAUAGCUCGGGGAAACGCGAAUUAAUACCGCAUACGACCUACGGGUGAAAGGGGGCGCAAGCUCUUGCUAUUAGAUGAGCCUAAAUCAGAUUAGCUAGUUGGUGGGGUAAAGGCCC
rnacentral:rRNA from 1 species